rnacentral:rRNA from 1 species
GCGAGAAAAGGGGGGCAACUCCCUGAGUACAGCGGCGCACGGGUGAGUAACACGUGGGUAAUCUGCCCUGAAGUGGGGAAUAACACCGGGAAACCGGUGCUAAUACCGCAUACGAUCACGGAGUCUGCGGAUUUUGUGAUGAAAGGAGCAAUUCGCUUUAGGAGGAGCCCGCGGCUGAUUAGCUAGUUGGUGAGGUAACGGCUCACCAAGGCUACGAUCAGUAUCCGGUCUGAGAGGACGGUCGGACACACUGGAACUGAGACACGGUCCAGACUCCUACGGGAGGCAGCAGUGGGGAAUUUUUCGCAAUGGGGGCAACCCUGACGAAGCAACGCCGCGUGGGUGAUGAAGUCUCUUGGGACGUAAAACCCUUUCGACGGGGAAGAAACCGCAAGGUUGACGGUACCCGUAGAAGAAGCCCCGGCUAACUCCGUGCCAGCAGCCGCGGUAAUACGGGGGGGGGCAAGCGUUGUUCGGAAUUACUGGGCGUAAAGGGUGCGUAGGCGGUUCGUUAAGUUAGAUGUGAAAACUCUGGGCUCAACCCAGAGCCUGCAUCUGAAACUGGCGGGCU